GAUGAACGCUGGCGGCGUGCCUAAUACAUGCAAGUCGAGCGAAUGGAUUAAGAGCUUGCUCUUAUGAAGUUAGCGGCGGACGGGUGAGUAACACGUGGGUAACCUGCCCAUAAGACUGGGAUAACUCCGGGAAACCGGGGCUAAUACCGGAUAACAUUUUGAACCGCAUGGUUCGAAAUUGAAAGGCGGCUUCGGCUGUCACUUAUGGAUGGACCCGCGUCGCAUUAGCUAGGUGGUGAGGUAACGGCUCACCAAGGCAACGAUGCGUAGCCGACCUGAGAGGGUGAUCGGCCACACUGGGACUCAGACACGGCCCAGACUCCUACGGGAGGCAGCAGUAGGGAAUCUUCCGCAAUGGACGAAAGUCUGACGGAGCAACGCCGCGUGAGUGAUGAAGGCUUUCGGGUCGUAAAACUCUGUUGUUAGGGAAGAACAAGUGCUAGUUGAAUAAGCUGGCACCUUGACGGUACCUAACCAGAAAGCCACGGCUAACUACGUGCCAGCAGCCGCGGUAA
rnacentral:rRNA from 1 species